ensembl:lncRNA
UUCUAAAGCGUUGUCUAUAAGCUUAGCUCAUAGGCACGCAGCACGGUGGCUUUGACCACAUCAUAAUGUAAACUGUCUUCUAUAGAGAGGCCAUGACCUCCUGGGCCUUCCCAGUUAGCUUACAUUGCAAGAGUAGAGGCCAGACAUAUUUGGGCCACUGCAGAGCAGCAGCUACCCACUCAAAGGCAGAGAAAUAAGAGUCUACCUCAGACUCACGAAAUGGGGGAACCACCGCAAUAUUCCUUCCCACAUCAAAAUGGCCGGUCUUACCCACUGGGUGAGAAGAUCUCUCUGCAUCAAGCUCCAUUCGUUGAAUGUGAAUACGAGCCUCCUUGCCUGCCUCUAUUUUUCUCAUUUCUAUCUCAUACCUCCUUUUGUCUUCCCUGUUUUUUUGGUCUGCUUCCAGCCGGGCUGUUUUCAACUUUAGCCGAGCAACCUCUACAGACUCUGAGAACUCGGGAGACGACCGUGCAUACUUUGGCAGAGUUUGAGGCACUGGAGCUUCCCCAUCUCAAACACUGCCCUUUGGCCUUGCUGGCGAGAGAUUCUCUACAGGGCCCUCAUCCUUCUCAUCCUCUGUUUCCACAUCCUCCACAGCCAUAACUCCUGCCCUAGACACUCAAUAAAUAGCUUUUGAUCACCAUUACCAACUUCUCUUUACGAGCCUGUUUUUCAACUGUAAGAUUGUAGUGGUCCGCUAGCGCUAACAAAUCCACCUUACGCAGGUUAAACAGUAAACCCAACGAGGGCUCCGAAAUAAAGCCUGCCACAUCCGAAGAAGUUGCCAUGCUCACACCACAACCCUGCACUAUUCAGUGCACAACGAACACUACAACUACCAAUACUACAAACUAAAGGACAGAACAACAACUACCAGGCAAGACAAAAAAAAACUACCUUACUCUCACCCCAACACCGCACCCCAAUCACCAACCACAGGGUGGUCCGAGCAGCGGGGUGCCAAGAUCCCGGACGAGCCCCCAAUUGUUACGUUCCAGCUCCCAAAAGGGAGGGGAACAUGACAACCCACUGCUCCGGCCCACCGGUGCCAGCAAAAGGGGUAUGGAGUCACGGUGCGAGAAAAGGACAAACACCAAAUACAGUAUAACGCUUUUACAAAUUACUAAAAUAAAUACACAUAAAUAAACAAUAUCUUUCUGGGAAAAGGGGAGGGCUGUCCGGACCAAAACAAAGAAAUAAACAAAAAGGUCCCCACCCCUAACCUGUACUAACCCCCUAUUGAAAACACAAUCUCUACCCAAACGUACAGGUGGUGGUCCUCUCAGGUCUAAACUGGUGUUUCUAGACAGAGAAGUAAACCUACGGGUGAUGUAUACUCCGGGGUGGCUCUAAAUCUACUCCCCACUCCCUGUGAACAAAAGAGGAAACAAAUAAUUAGUCAAAUGACACAAACAAACAAUUGCUCCCUCCUGCUGCUACACAUUCCAAAAGGAACACAAGUUAUUUAACACUAUCGCAAUUGAAUAUAUCCUCACACAGGGUACAAACCAAAGACAACAUAACAGCAUAUGCAGCGAGCAUGCAGCGCCAGAGCUGGUCCAAAACUGGGCUUUUUAAAGAGCCCAGCCAGCUGCAACCACUGACGAGGGGGGUGGAGCUCCGGGUCCCAAUCCUACCUGGAAAACACACACACACACGCAACUACAAGUAAUCCCCAAAUCGGAAUCAUUAUAUGAACCCAGAUUUCUGGGGACAACAGCAAUCAUGAGGCACGAUGAACUCCUCCACGUGACGAGAACGGCCCUGGUUCAGGCCCAGGUUUAACAUCCUGGCAGGACAAACAAGAUUACUUCAAUUUUUUUGUUGUGUAUUGGUUUAAAUGCAAAUGUUGAUACAUCUCUAUUCCUCCAUACAGUCACAUUAUGAUCUUCCGCACCUUUUGCCUCUAGAAAUUUUCUCUAACGGGACCUCUUCACAUUUUACCCCUGAUCUAGGCCCUUAGCAAGAGGAUCUGCCACAAAUAUAAGCUCUUGCUGAAAUUUUCAAGAAAGCGUCUGAUGCAGUGUAAACCUAAGUUGUCACCUGCAAUGGCACAGAGUUCCUUUUGUAGGUUUUACCAUCAGGGAGUGUGAUGCCACUUGUCUCAAGAUCUUCUAGAUCUCUGAUCAAAGAUCCAAAUACUAGCUCUUGGUCAAAAUACUGUCCUGCUCUUUAUAUAGCAAUACUGCAACGACUUCAUUUUCUUUUCCCUGAUCCAAUUAGAUUUACAACUUUUAAGGCAUCUUCAAAAAGAAUAAUGCCUAAUGAAGAUUUUUCUAGCUCAACAUUGUGUUUUUUUUAAACAACGAUAUCCCACAUACCUCUAUCCAAAACACUCCUUGGCUGACCCACUGAAAAAAUGGGCACUGAUUUAUUAUAAUCAGUUAGUCUUGAAGACAGCUUUCUCCUCCGAUAGUUUUAAUGUUUGUGUUUGAGAUAUUCACAUUUAUGGGGUAUCAAUUAUUUCCUCUGUCAGUUUCUGCUAGAUCCAGAUUCUAAGUUCUUCCUUGAGUUUGAAAACUAGUUGUGACUAGGCUGAUGUCACGUAUAUGUUGAUAAUCUGAAUCACAGAGGCAGGAAGGAGAAAUCUGGCUUGCAAAGAAAAACAUUUCCGGAAGAAUUUAUUCUCUUAUUCUCAGCCUCUGGGCAUACUUCAGACUGUUUGCAAUUCUGACCUGGAUCAUGAAAUUUCAUAUCACUAUUAAACACAAUGCAGUCCAUAAUACCGGGAUGUGCCGAGUGACGUGGUUGAAGACUGGACUGGGAAUUCUUGUUACAUGUUCUGACGCAUGAUAUGUUAGUGGAAAGGCCAGUCCGGGUUCCGGAUAUGUUUACAGCAUUUUUUUUCAUUAACCUAAUAUAGCGGAAUAGACCAAGUAAAACAUUAUCUAAGAAUUUAACAGUUCAAAAAUCAUGAAAACAAAAAGUACCUUUAAUUUGGUAUGAGAAACGCAACCCCUGAAGAAACAAGGUAACUCUUCCGUUGUUGAACUGCACUGACAUGGGUUCUGAAUGAAUGGAGGCUGCCGUCACGUCCAGGAGCAGUCAGUCAUGUCUUGUCACUCAAAAAUUACCUUUUUAGGCAAUAAACAGCAUGAAUAAUACGAAUAUUCUAACAUCCUUACAGACACAUUAACCUUCAAUAAAGAGUAGAUGGAUUGUGAUUCACUGGACUUGUGUAUUUUCACCACUUCACAAAAUAUACUGUAUCUAUCAUGCUGUUAAAUUACGGGUGCCUGCUGUUGUCGUGAAAUGACCACAUUAGCUGUUCAUUUAUUCCAUUGACCAUUCAUUUACAAGCAAGGGAUGAACAUUUUACUGUAAUGUUAAAGGUUUUAACUACAUACUAAUAAGAGAUACCAUUCAAAAUCCACCGUAAAUUUACAGCUAUUCACAACAGCAUGCUGUUCUUGCGUCUGUGGAACAUGAAGCAGGGGCUCACAUGUGUGGAGAUGGCCGUGUUUUGGAGAAAGCGGGAGUUGGGAGUCGUGACAGGUUGUGUUGCCAACACCGAGUUGAUGAGAGUAUGCAGAGUUAUCAUCUGCCUCACAUCAGCUUCCUAUUUUGAAAAUCCUCACAAAGUGAUGUCCUCAGGCGGCACACAGCAGGUUUAUCCGCUGAUGGGAGCUUAGCAGUACAUAUGAAUAUGCCGGCUGCACUGUUCUUAUCAGCGUGGCCUUGCCUCCGUCGGUUCUGUCGGGGAUGUGAUAAUGCAUUCAAUAACAUGGUUUUCUCUCUGAGAUUAUAUUUUCCCCAGAAACAAAGGCUUGUGUUCACUGUGAAACAAAAUAGCCCAUUACCAGACAAGUUCCUAAGUGCCGGAGGUAAUGCUUUCACAUUCAGCAUUAUCUCCACGGCAAAUGUCUGAGAUAAGGAAGAAAAUAAAGACAAAAAAAUUGAAGUGGGAUAUCUAGCUGGCACAUAACAUUUGGAGUGAGCCAGCAGUUGCUGCUCAUUGACACAAUGAAAUCUUACGUCCGGUUGAUGAAUGAAUACUUCUGCAAAUAUAUUGCAUGAUUUUACAGCAGACGACCCUGCAGCACAAUGGAAACAUGGUUAAAACAACCCAACAGGAGAGAGUAUUCUGCGAGGGCGAGCCCACUGUGUCACUGGGAUCAGCCCUUGUCACUUUCAAGAAACUGAAUCAAUUUUUCAAAAUUGUGCCACGUACAGCAAGAAGGAAUAAAACGCCACGUGUGAUUGUGAAAGCAGAACGCCAGAGGGGAUGAAACCGUAAACCUUUUAAAAAGGAAAGAUAGUAUGAAUCUAAAAGCUUAUUAGCUCAUCAAAGGCUUUUUGGAUCCCCCCACCCCCCCUCCCUGCUCGCCUCGCUGAGAGUGUCAAUGUUAGCGGAAAGGAUCUCAUUAAUUUUGUUGGUAGAUGAAAAACAGUGGCCACUAUUCCAGAGUAAACAGCAAGGUUUUAAUAAUAAUAAGCUGACAGCUGGGGCUCUCAGUCUUUCUUGCUGUCCUCUGAAGGUUUAAAAAGGUAGUGGCCCGCCAGAUAACAGACUCCUGGAAAGGUAAAACGCCUCUGAUGGGAAUGAAACCCAAGAGGAACAGGACAGGAGGAUAAAAAAGCAUCACCUCUCAACGUGACCCUCAGCAAAAGAGUCCAAUUUACUCUUCAGCAAACAGUCGGAAGUCUCUUGCAUGAUAAUAGGACGAAAUUGUUGGUCUCUAUCACGUGGAGGAGCUGCAAGAGACAUUGCAGUCAUAAAGCAGGAUAUGUUUCCGUGAUUAUGACCGGACCAUAGAAAAACUGAGACAUGAGUGCAGUAGACUUUUUUUGGGGGGGAGAAUUUGGUUACUUUAUUGGAUCUCCAUAAACCAAUGCUAAUCUUUUCUAAUAUUCAUGUGCAGUGUUCAGUAUAUUAAUAAUAAUCUACAAUAUUGCGUUAUAGAUCAUUUGUCAGAUGACAAAGGAAAAAAAUGCUGUACAUUCCUGUUGUACAAUUUUUGACUUUCCAAACAGGCCAAUCGCGAAUUGCUCAAACAGCCGCUUCCUCCGCUACUGCACAACAGCUGUGGAUGUUACAUUGACCAGGUAGUUGUUUUGUGAUGUUCCCUUCAAAGCAUAGGUGUCAGAGGUCAAGGCCGGGAAUCUGGCCCGCCGGAUCACUUUGCUAUUGUGAGAAUUCUAGAAAAACAAAUCAAAUUUCUAUUAAAGUAGCUGCUAUUCUUUUCUAUCAGUGCCGCUGGACCGCCUGCUGUUGAAAUGGAAAAUCCGUGGCCGACCGCGGGAGCUAGCAGAAAAAUUGAACCAGCUGAUGGUUGGGGCGGGGGUAGAUUGCCAUGAGUGAGUCGAUUGAAAUCCGUCGGCCGGACCAUCCACUAACGCCAACCCCCCCCGUUGGUGCAACCAUAGGAUUUUACAGGUCUUCCCCACUUAAGAUCAAAGUGGGCCGGAUGUGGCCUCUUACCUAAAAACAGUUUGACGCGACUGCCUUAAAGGCUCAGCGUUAGGUGUGACCUAUUGUGACUACUUGGACCCAAUAAAGCACAAACGUUCAGUCCAAACUUGUGCAUUUGUUCACCACUAAGAGGUAUCCGUUUUUGGUGCUCUAUAACACUAGUUAUAGUGUGGAAACUUCUAAACGUUGGGAAAUUUAAAAAUAAAAGUAGUAUGGACAUGUUCCAAGCGGCUCCUGGAAUGGGUUGAUUGAUUCAUCAGCUUUGCUUCUGCUGCUCCACAGCUUUACGGUGAAAGCAAUAAAACGUAUAAAAAUGGGGAUAGGGAUGGUAAUCUUAUUUAGUUCAGGAUUAUAUGCUUCUCCGGGCAUAAUAUAUUUGGGUUUUGAUAAGAAUAUUUUCCAGUAAUUUAAAAUUAAAAUGGAUAAGUCAUUCAAUUUUAGCUAGAGGUAAUAUUGCAAAGAAAUCAGUAAAUAAAUCAAGAGUCAAGAAAAAAAACAGCAGCAAACACGUUUAUUAGCUUGUAUGCAGACUUUUUUUCUUGCAUGUGAUACGAACUAAUUCAACAGUAACAUAUUACAAAAUAUGUACAUGCUACAGUAGCUGUUACAACAAACAUCGUUCUCUUCAGCUUAAUACUGCUUUCCCCAGUCGCCCUUAAACAAAAUUAAAUUUAUAGUUACUUCAUAAUAACACAAUGCAACAAAUGGAGCAAAGUUCAGUUUCAAUCAGGAGAGAAUCAUUCCGAAUGAACAAUACUUUUAUUACAUCGGUCACAUUGGAAUUGUGCAUGUCUUUGAACCCAAACCGGAUAAUCAAGGGGCCGCAAUGCCAAGUCCUGCUCCAACAGAAUCCCCCCUGGAGUCGAGACACUGGUGGUGGUGAAUAAGGGAAGUUGCUGCAAGCCUAUGCUGCCCGUGGAGCAUGACUGAAGGUGGCUGGAGGUGCCUGGAGUGGAGGAGGGUUGCAUUCAACUGGGAGUUUUAUAAACUAAGAUGUGAUGUUAUACAUUGUUUCGGUCUAUGGAUAUUAAUUUAAAAGUGAACUCCCGCUUCCGUCCUAACUAAAGUAUACUUUGCUGUCCAGCAAUGAGAUGUGUCCUCAAAAUACAGCCUGGAGGGUUGAGUCCCUCGACUAUAUUCGGAGGAGCGACAGAAUGGGACAGCAGAGUUGCAGCCAAAGUGACAUAUGCAGUCAACAAAUGCGUCCGCAUUAGGAUGCCGACGGAGACACAACUUGUGUGGGCAUGUUGCACUGCCAUAUUUUAGAUUGCAGGUCAUUUAGCUGAUGCUUUUAGUGGCUUACAAUAAGUGCAUUCAACCAUAGGGAUACAAACUCCGAAGAGCAAGAAAUUGCAAUUUCAAAGUAUUCUACAUCAAAUAUUUCUACAGAAGGGACAAAUCAACCACCAGCUCCAAAGAAUGCCCAAAGCGUGAAGUUACUGAAAGGCCACCUACGUGAGCCGCAAAAUUCAAAUCUGUAGUUCCACCAAAUGCGCUUCAGAUUUCAAUAUUCUUAAGGUAAUGUUAUUGCGGUAAGGACGGCAUCUGAGGAAGGUGUCGGGAUCUCCGAUCGCAACACGUUGAUCAAUUAAGUCAAAAAGUUAAUUUAUUGGAGAAAAAGAUAACAUGAGCAAUUCUCCGCAGAUAUGUUUGGCUCUAACUAUUGCUUGCAAGCAGGAGGUCGAAUACACAAGCACGUAUUUCAGCGUAAAAGGCAUCUCCGAGCAGUAAAAACGCUGAGUCUUUAUACACAUGUGAAGGCCAGUGCCGGGUACAAGAAGCGGCAAAUCAGGUUGAGAUAAGAACCCAGGUGAAGAUGAGGGUAACACACCCGGUUCCUUUGUUAGAGCGCCUGUGAGAGCAAGUUAACUCCCUUCUUCAGACACAGCUGCAUAUGGAGGCCUUUAAAUCUUUUCUGCCUUUGCACAUCAGGGUCAAAUACAGACACUUGAGAGAUGGCUUUAGCACAAGACAGUGUUGUAACAAACUUUACCAUUACAUGCAUCUCACAAAGGUAAAUGGGCUUUUUGCACUCUGUGGAUUACGUUACCCAACUCCUGCAAAGAGGAGUGAGAAAGGGUAUAUUAGUUAGGUAGUGAUCUGAAAACUCACCAUAGAAUAGAAGUACUUUAUUGAGCCCCUAGGGGAAAUUUAGUAGGCCCUUAAAAAAAAAAAAAAAAAAGCAUUAAAAAAAAGCAUCAAAAAGAACCCUAAGUACAAAGUACAAAUGAGGCAGUCCAAUUCAUCUCAGUCUAAAGACAUGCACUUAAGGUUAAUGGGUGAAAAUGGCCUAAUGGUGUGUGAAUGGGAGAGAUAAUGGUUGCUUGUCUAUGUCAGCCCUGCGAUUAACGGGCGAUCAGUCCAGGGUGUAGCCUGUCUCACUCCCAAAAUUAGCUGCGAUUGACUCCAGCCCGCCCGGAUUAGCAGUAUAGAAAUGGAUGGUAAUUAAAUUGAGCGUUUGUAAAUGUGUAUACAAAAAUGCGCAUGUAUCGGAAUUGUAUGUGGCGCUUUGUUCUUUAUGUUUGCAUACAGUACUUUGCUGCUCACUUUUAUAGGUUGUAUAAAUAAGUUAUCAACCACAAGAUAUUUGCAGAUUAAACCUUUAUAGCACAACGUGAGAUUGAUAGCCAACAGUAAAUAUUACAUUUAUGUUGUCAAAUCCAGGAGCCAAUCAGCGCUUUUAUCUGGUGACAACAAGGCAUUUCCAAUGACCGAGUCAUGCACCCAGUAGAAAGUGGCGUCUGGCUCUAAAGACUGCAGCCAGCGGAGGUUAUCGUUUAAGACUUGUGCAUUACGUCAGAGCAUGUCAAGAUCCAGUUUGGCAAAAAUGUAACAGGCAUGAAUUGUGCAAAUCAUGAUUCUGAGCAGGACCACUUCAACUCAAACUAGCCAAAUAGUUAAAAUUACCAUACAUUAGUCAAAAAAAGGCAAACAAUGCUAAAAAGCACAGAACGGUGGAAUGAGCUCUCUGAUGACAUCAGGAUUUUCUGCCACAAACUAAAGACACAUCUUCAGACUCUACCUUCACUAAAAAGACACUAACAAACUGUAGCACUUAAAUUGUACUUAUAAUGGCACUUCUCUAUAGAAAAUUGUAAAUUGGCUUAUUUGAUGAAAUCGCACUUUGUUUCUUGUUCUUCAGAGUUUGUAUCCCUAUGGUUGAAUGCACUUAUUGUAAGUCGCUUUGGCUAAAAGCAUCAGCUAAAUAACAUGUAAUCUUAUACACAUGCAAAAAGACAUUGCUCUAUAAGUCACCCCUCAUCCAGUGGAACUCACUGUGGAGAUCAAAGGCCAACAGAUAUAUUAGGAGUCAUCUGGGCUUUUAAGCAGCUGAAUAAAUGUACUCUGUAAUCUAUCAGGACCCUGGCGAUGAAGUAGACUGGGCCACAUGAGUUUUAUCAGCCUAGUAAUUGGUCAUGUUGACACGCAUGGUCUUUAAAAAAGGGAUGGGAAAUGCGAGGCAUUCAGCCUUAUAUUGAAGUUGGCCAUUUAUAAAAGGAAUUAUAUGGCCCCUGUCAUACGGAGAAAGUUUCACAAAUGUAAAUAAAUGCAUUCCCUGGAUGCUAAAGGGUCAGAGGCAUGUAAAAACCGGUGGUUGUGCAUGGGUAGAUAUGGUGAAUCUACAUCUACAAAGAUGGUCUCUGGUAUCAGGUGUUAACCUCCCAAUGAUAUGGCUCCUGCUCAAUUACCUUUGACUUCUUGAAGAGGGUGCUGUGAGAGGCUUUGGUCGGGAAAUUUUAUCGGUUUCAAACAGUGCUCACAAUGGACUAAUACACAAAUCCCAUUUUUUGAUGAGUGCCAUCUCUUUGCAUCUUUUUCAAGUGACCGUAUUUAGACUUGUAUUCACUUGAAACUUACAUGUACUGUCCACACUCUGGGCUCUGUUUAUGACAUUUGAGGCAAAUCUCAAUUCUAACUUUGUGUGGAAUAUUGAUAUUUUUUUUUAACGUUAACUGAUUUUAUACAUCUUCGCACACAUAGGGGUUCCCCUCUUUUCCCACAAAAAAAAAAAAAGUAUAUGACACACAAAUGAUAAAAAGUGUCUAUUUCUUCAUUUUAAAACACCUGUUGAAGAGGGAACCAGUCUGCCAGGUUUAAACCCUUUUCACAAUGCACUCAAAUGACUUCAAUGUUCAUAGUUUUAUUUCGCCAACGAGAUGUUUGAGUGAAAUUGCUCAAAGAAUUUUCCCUUCUCUGGUGAGAGUGAAAAAGAAAGCAUUCUGGAUAUAUACACCAUUCUAAAGAAUUUUGAAAAUGAUAAUAAAAACGCUCGUUAAAUGAUUAUAUUGGUCAUCUGAAUAAGCACAUUUGAUGGAACAGUUCCCUUCUUUGACUGUCAGUCCAGAUGCUCCCUGCGAAUAUGGAUAUCUGUCGCUUAGUUUGACAUCAGAUAAUUCUUUGGGUAUUUUGACGGAAUUACUUGCUCUGAAGUCAAUAAAGAAAUUUAAUUUCUUUUCUCAUAUUGAUAUCUCUCUGGGAACCGUCACCUUAUCGUGGUGGAGAGGUUUGUGUGUCCCUAUGAACCUGAGGGCUGUGUUGUCGGGAGCCUUGUGCUCCUGGUAGGGUUACCCUUGGCAAAGUGGUCUCAGGCGAGGGGCCAGACUAAGAAUGGUUCAAGACCCCCAUGAAAAAACGGAAGAGGGACGGAGUUACCCGGCCCGGAGGAAGCCCGGGGCCCCCAUUUGGAGCCAGGCCCAGAUGGAGGGCCCGACAGCGAGCCCCAACACUCUACUCCCCAUGGGCUCACCACCUGUGGAGGAAACCGAUGGGGUCGGGUGCGCUGCUACAAGGGUGGCAGUGACAGUGGGGGGUCUAGACGGAACAGACCUGGGCGGCAGAUGCUGGCUCUGGGGACGUGGAACGUAACCUCUCUGGGGGGGAACGAGCCGGAGCUUGUGCGGGAGGUGGAGCGUUAUCAGUUGGAUCUGGUGGGGCUUACCUCUACGCACAGCCUCGGCUCUGGAACCACACUCCUGGAUAGGGGGUGGACUCUAUUCUACUCCGGAGUGGCCCAUGGUGUGAGGCGCCAGGCGGGUGUGGGGAUACUCAU